ACAAUUAUAGAUAAGAUGGCUGCAACGACCAAGAUGGCUACCGCUUCUGAAGGCAGUCGGGUUGCUAGCCAAGAGAUGCAGGGCUGAUAUCCCAUUCUCGUUUACGUAGUUGACAAGAUCUUCAUAAAGGUAAAUGAUUUGAAAUGCCAAAUCUGUGAAUCACAAUAUAGUUAAUACAAUGUAGUUUAUGCUAAUAUGUUUGAGAAAAGAGUUAGGGAAAUUCUUACCAAAAUAGUCUCCAGAUAUGGCACAGUGGAGAACAUUUUCACCAUCCUUUCUUCUACAAUAAGAAUAGCCUUCUUCUUGGCUUUGACAGUAAGAGUUAAGACAAAGGAAAGCCUCUUUCUUGCCAUAAAGAGCUGCCAUGAAUAGCGGGGUUUCUCCGACGUUGUUUCGGAUUUCAAGCAACGACGAGUCCACUCGCACGAUGCAUUGGCACAUCCUUACAUUCCCUAGUGAAGCC
rnacentral:lncRNA from 1 species